UUGGUGUGUCAUCAAGUGAUAACGUAAGGGAAAAUAAUGAUAUUACCUUACUAUUAGUGUCGUCCAAGUACUCGUGCCAGAAGACUCGGUAAGGCGAGAGACGCAAACGUUAUUCGUCUUGAUCAGGCGUAAAGGGUUUGUAGGCGGCUUUAAGUAUUCAAAAUUUAGUUUACUAUUUUAAUUAUUAAUUAUAAUUGAAUUUUAAAUGAUAAAAAGUUAUAAAAUAAUUUGUUUAUUAAAAAAAAUAAAUUUAUUUAACUAAAUUAAUAGUUUUAAUUAAAAUAUAAAUAAAGGAAUCAAUUAAAGCUAGAAUCUAGAAGAGGUUAAAACAAUACUUUUGAAAGGAGUGCUAACCUUAGAGAUUAAGCAGAGUGUUAAAGGCGAAGGCAUUUAUCCAAUAAAGAUUGACGCUGAGAAACGAAGGUGAGGGCAGAAAAAAGGAUUAGAGACCCUUGUAUUCCUCACUGUCAACGAUGAAUGGUAGUUACUAGGUAGUUUUAACCUAGAGACGAUGUUAACACGAAAACCAUUCCGCCUUGUGAGUACGACUGCAAAGUUGAAAACAAAAAAAUUAGUCGGUUUCGGAGCAAACGAAGUGAAGCA
rnacentral:rRNA from 1 species